rnacentral:rRNA from 1 species
CUCGUAGGCGGUCUGUCGCGUCGGAUGUGAAAGCCCGGGGCUUAACCCCGGGUCUGCAUUCGAUACGGGCAGACUAGAGUGUGGUAGGGGAGAUCGGAAUUCCUGGUGUAGCGGUGAAAUGCGCAGAUAUCAGGAGGAACACCGGUGGCGAAGGCGGAUCUCUGGGCCAUUACUGACGCUGAGGAGCGAAAGCGUGGGGAGCGAACA